GACGAACGCUGGCGGCGUGCCUAACACAUGCAAGUCGAGCGGGGUUGAAGCGAGGGGUAACUCAAGCUUCUACCUAGCGGCGGACGGGUGAGUAACGCGUGGGCAACCUGCCUCAAGGUCUGGGAUAACAGCUCGAAAGGGCUGCUAAUACCGGAUAUGCCUAUGGCCUCGCAUGGGGCUAUGAGCAAAGGGGAAACCUGCCUUGAGAUGGGCCCGCGUCCCAUCAGCUAGUUGGUGAGGUAACAGCUCACCAAGGCGACGACGGGUAGCCGGCCUGAGAGGGUGACCGGCCACACUGGGACUGAGACACGGCCCAGACUCCUACGGGGGGCAGCAGUGGGGGAUCUUGCACAAUGGGCGAAAGCCUGAUGCAGCGACGCCGCGUGAGCGAAGAAGGCCUUCGGUUGUAAAGCUCUGUCUGGAGGGACGAAGGAAGUGACGGUACCUCCGGAGGAAGCCACGGCUAACUACGUGCCAGCAGCCGCGGUAAUAGUCACG
rnacentral:rRNA from 1 species